UGUCGGCGCCCGUUUCGGGCGUUCCUCCCUAGACUUGGCCGCGCCACGCCUUUGCGUCGCGCGGUAUUUUUUUGCCUAU
rnacentral:sRNA from 1 species